rnacentral:lncRNA from 1 species
CUUCUCAUUUCCACAGAAAGACACUGAUCACAUGUUUAAUGUAUAAAUAGAAGUCACGUUUUACUAACACCUGUAAAAUGUUGGAGAGGAACGCCAACAUCCACUGAUGGAGGAGAAGAAAGAUGGAGGACGGGAGUGCCGGCAUCUACCAAUGGAGGAGAAGAAAUACUUUUAUUAACCAAAACAAUAAUCCGCUGAUGGAGAACAAGGAAGAUGGAAGAGUACCAUCAUCUACCAAUGGAGGAGGAGAAAAAUGGGGGAGCACCAGCAUCCAAAAGUGUCCCAUAAUCAGCCCCAGGAGGAGAUAUCAGCAGAGGAAAGAAAGACUAUUAAGCAAAACCUCUCAUUUACACAGAAAGACGCUGAUCACAUAUUUAAUGUAUAAAUAGAAGUCACGUUUUCCUAACACCUGUAAAAUGUUGGAGAGGAACGCCAACAUCCACUGAUGGAGGAGAAGAAAGAUGGAGGACGGGAGUGCCGGCAUCUACCAAUGGAGGAGAAGAAAUACUUUUAUUAACCAAAACAAUGUAAGUAAAACCUCUCGUUUACACAGAAAGACACUGGACACGUUUAUUGUAAAAAAUGACUUUCUAAUAAUGCUUGUAAAAUAUUGGACUUGAACACCAGAAUCCACUGAUGGAGAACAAGGAAGAUGGAAGAGUACCAUCAUCUACCAAUGGAGGAGGAGGAGGAGAAAAAUGGGGGAGCACCAGCAUCCAAAAGUGUCCCAUAAUCAGCCCCAGGAGGAGAUAUCAGCAGAGGAAAGAAAGACUAUUAACCAAAACAAUGUAAGUAAAACCUCUCAUUUACACAGAAAGACACUGAACUUGUUUUUAUUGUAAAAAUGUUGCCAUGGGUAAAAAAAAAAAAGAAAAGAGAAAUAGAUGUUUGUUUACAUUAAAACCUGUAAAUUGUCCACCACA